AUUGAACGCUGGCGGCAGGCCUAACACAUGCAAGUCGAACGAGUGGCGGACGGGUGAGUAAUGUCUGGGAAACUGCCCGAUGGAGGGGGAUAACUACUGGAAACGGUAGCUAAUACCGCAUACCAUCGGAUGUGCCCAGAGGGGAUUAGCUAGUAGGUGGGGUAACGGCUCACCUCGGCGACGCGCCCUAGCUGGUCUGAGAGGAUGACACGCCACACUGGAGUGGGGACACGGUCCGGAUUCCUACGGGAGGCAGCAGUGGGGAUUUUUGAAAAAUGGGCGAACGCUUGAUGCAGCCAGGCGGCUUGUAUGAAGAGGGCCUGCGGGUUGUAAAGUCCUUUCAGCGAGGAGGCGUUACUCGCAGAAGAAGCACCGGCUAACUCCGUGCCAGCAGCCGCGGUAAUAC
rnacentral:rRNA from 1 species